ACAACUGUAGCUCAGCUGGUUAGAGCACCACCUUGACAUGGUGGGGGUCGGUGGUUCGAAUCCACUCAGUUGUA
rfam:Shewanella sp. P1-14-1 AN944_contig000008, whole genome shotgun sequence.